rnacentral:lncRNA from 1 species
AUGGUAAACUCUCCUUCAGGUGCAGCUCUAAUCGGGGUAUCAUGUCUUCCAAACUUGAAGAAGUUAACUGGGACAGGCAAACCAUUUUUGUUCCUGCAGCGCAAAGUAACUUUACUUCCAGUCAUAACAGGAAGAGCAGGGAUCUCCAUGAUGAAGGGGCCACCUGAACAACACCAGAGUGUCAAAUUGUUCACAGGUUUUCUUCAAGGGUUUGAAAAGUGCCCUGCAACAGGAUUUGUUAAUGAGACUGAAGUGUUCACACCAGUAAACUCCUCUAUCUGCAAGAGGAGAUGGAUCCGAGACUGCAGGUGGAACCACUGAUCCUCCCAAAGCCUCCAGAAGCUCCACAUGUCUCUGUUUCUGAAACUGAUAUCCUCUUCAGUGUCCACUCAGUAUUCCCACUGUAGUUUCCCUCCUCACAGCUCAGAUGGACAAACUCUCCUGUAAAAAACUGCUGACGGUUUGGAUGGACAUUCAGAGAGACUGGAAGAAAAAUUGACACAUGAAAGAUGCAGACACAACAAGUUUUAUAAUUUUAGAAUCAGGUAUUAUUGUAAUUUUUUAUUUGACCUUUCAGCAGCUUACUUUCAGAAACUGUGAGUCUAGAAUCAAGCAGCUCAAUCAGUCCUGCAAUGGGAGAUCACAGCAAGUCUCAUCAGACUAAGUAUGAGGGGAGUUAAUACUUUCACUCAUAGUGUUUUUAUACACAGUGAUAUUUCACACAUAUCACUAUAAUAUAAUCUAAAGUAAAAGGAGGAUGCAUUCUGUUCCUUCUCUGUUUAUUAUUUGGACACUUUUCUUGUUUCAUUUGGAGUUACAUAGAAUUUUAUUCUUAUUCCAGGAAGGAACCACAUACACAGUCUUGUUUCUGUGAUGUACAGAUUCAAACACACAGUCUUGAAAAAUAGCAUUUCCUUCUUGAAAGCAUUAAACUAUUUUUAAAACCACCAAGAGCAAGAAAAGUAGUGGAUAAGCCAAAUACUGCUGUGGUUACUUUGUGUUAGCAGAACAUAUUGGCAAGAAUCACAAUACAGGAACUUUGAGUGUCAUUAAAAAAGGGCUUUCCCCCAUGAGAGAGUCAGCUUCCUUGUUUUAGUGCACAAACAUGACCAAAUAAAGAUUAUUCUGAUUCUGUUUCCUGAUCUCUAAGUUUUCUUGCACAUUGUACAUACUUAAAACAAGCAGGCUUCAUCGAGGUUUCAUCCUGCAGAGGACUGCAGUGAAAUAGCUGAACUAUUCAACUGUAGGAAUGCAGUUUUUCUUUGUUUAACCCACGGAAGACCAGCACAGCAAAAAAAGUUUCAUUCAGUGACACUGAGGAGCAUUCUAUCACAUAGGAAAUCACAACCUAUUUAUGUGAGCAACGUCUAAAUUUUGUUGAAGGUGAAACAAAUAAAGUGUUAUGUGUCAUGAAAGCUCUAAAAAAGAAAGAAGCAGAGGAAUGAUU